UACGGAGGGUGCAAGCGUUGCUCGGAAUUAUUGGGCGUAAAGAGCGUGUAGGCGGCCCGGUAAGUCCGCUGUGAAAGUCCAGGGCUCAACCCUGGAAUGCCGGUGGAAACUGUCGGGCUAGAGUCCGGAAGAGGCGAGUGGAAUUCCUGGUGUAGCGGUGAAAUGCGCAGAUAUCAGGAGGAACACCAAUGGCGAAGGCAGCUCGCUGGGACGGUACUGACGCUGAGACGCGAAAGCGUGGGGAGCAAACAGG
rnacentral:rRNA from 1 species